rnacentral:rRNA from 1 species
UACGUAGGGUGCAAGCGUUGUCCGGAAUUACUGGGCGUAAAGCGCACGUAGGCGGCUUUGUAAGUUAGAGGUGAAAGCCCGGAGCUCAACUCCGGAAUUGCCUUUAAGACUGCAUCGCUAGAAUUGUGGAGAGGUGAGUGGAAUUCCGAGUGUAGAGGUGAAAUUCGUAGAUAUUCGGAAGGACACCAGUGGCGAAGGCGACUCACUGGACACAUAUUGACGCUGAGGUGCGAAAGCGUGGGGAGCAAACAGG